rnacentral:rRNA from 1 species
UACGUAGGGUGCAAGCGUUGUCCGGAAUCAUUGGGCGUAAAGCGCGUGUAGGCGGCUUGUUAAGUCCGCUCUGAAAGCCCGGGGCUCAACCCCGGGAGGCGGGUGGAUACUGGCAAGCUCGAGUCCGGAAGAGGCGAGUGGAAUUCCUGGUGUAGCGGUGAAAUGCGCAGAUAUCGGGAGGAACACCAAUGGCGAAGGCAGCUCGCUGGGACGGUACUGACGCUGAGACGCGAAAGCGUGGGGAGCAAACAGG